UGAGGCCGGGCCAGGGCAGCCCGGCGCGCACAGCCCCAGAGCGUGCGGUCGCCACUUCAAAGUUCCCGCGGUAGGCACUUCCGCAACAGAAACCAGAAAACGGGCACACACCCCCCUAACGACCUCUAGUGAGUGUGGAAACAGUAAUGUAGAGUCUCAUUAUGUAGCCCUGGCUUGCUUGGAACUUACUUUACAUACGACACUGGCCUUGAACACACAGAGAUCUGCCUCUCUGUAACCUAGAUGCUGGGAUUAAAGGUGAGACUCCGUGGCAGGCGUAUCCCUUACUCAUUAUACCCGCAUAGGUAGGUUCUGUGCGUGCUCUUGCAUCUGCUGUGAGUUCAUCUGAUCCGCUGUGUCCAGAUCAUCGUUUAUGAAUGUUCUGCCUGUGUGUAUCACACCAUCUGGUAUGCAAUGCCUGCAGAAGACCCACCAGAAAAUAAGGGUUUCAUGAUAGUCUCCAUUUGGAGUGUUGAAAAUCCAGAGCACGAAUUACUGUAUUGUGUUUAUCUCAUACACAAUGUUUCUGAUUCUCACUUUUAAACAUUUCGUCUCUUAAAUCUCUAUCAUUUUUUCAACUGCUCACAUUUAUCUCUUACUAUCAUUACAAAAGCUUCUACAAUUGACUUCCUCCUUUGGCAUCUUUCUUUUUCACUGGGGGAACAGUUUGCAGUACCCUAUUCCAUGGUGCUAGCAAUCCUAUGAGUUGGCCAACGAGGGUGGGAUUAUUAUGAAAUCUUUCAAAUAAAAAUCUCAAAGUUGUAUUUAA